CGAACUCUGGUAUUGAUUGGUGCUUGCAUCAUGAUUUACAUUUGAGUGAGUGGCGAACUGGUGAGUAACACGUGGGAAACCUGCCCAGAAGCGGGGGAUAACACCUGGAAACAGAUGCUAAUACCGCAUAACAACUUGGACCGCAUGGUCCGAGCUUGAAAGAUGGCUUCGGCUAUCACUUUUGGAUGGUCCCGCGGCGUAUUAGCUAGAUGGUGGGGUAACGGCUCACCAUGGCAAUGAUACGUAGCCGACCUGAGAGGGUAAUCGGCCACAUUGGGACUGAGACACGGCCCAAACUCCUACGGGAGGCAGCAGUAGGGAAUCUUCCACAAUGGACGAAAGUCUGAUGGAGCAACGCCGCGUGAGUGAAGAAGGGUUUCGGCUCGUAAAACUCUGUUGUUAAAGAAGAACAUAUCUGAGAGUAACUGUUCAGGUAUUGACGGUAUUUAACCAGAAAGCCACGGCUAACUACGUGCCAGCAGCCGCGGUAAUACGUAGGUGGCAAGCGUUGUCCGGAUUUAUUGGGCGUAAAGCGAGCGCAGGCGGUUUUUUAAGUCUGAUGUGAAAGCCUUCGGCUCAACCGAAGAAGUGCAUCGGAAACUGGGAAACUUGAGUGCAGAAGAGGACAGUGGAACUCCAUGUGUAGCGGUGAAAUGCGUAGAUAUAUGGAAGAACACCAGUGGCGAAAGCGGCUGUCUGGUCUGUAACUGACGCUGAGGCUCGAAAGUAUGGGUAGCAAACAGGAUUAGAUACCCUGAUAGUCCAUACCGUAAACGAUGAAUGCUAAGUGUUGGAGG
rnacentral:rRNA from 2 species